rnacentral:rRNA from 1 species
GAUGAACGCUGGCGGCGUGCCUAAUACAUGCAAGUCGAGCGAACAGACGAGGAGCUUGCUCCUCUGACGUUAGCGGCGGACGGGUGAGUAACACGUGGAUAACCUACCUAUAAGACUGGGAUAACUUCGGGAAACCGGAGCUAAUACCGGAUAAUAUAUUGAACCGCAUGGUUCAAUAGUGAAAGACGGUCUUGCUGUCACUUAUAGAUGGAUCCGCGCUGCAUUAGCUAGUUGGUAAGGUAACGGCUUACCAAGGCAACGAUGCGUAGCCGACCUGAGAGGGUGAUCGGCCACACUGGAACUGAGACACGGUCCAGACUCCUACGGGAGGCAGCAGUAGGGAAUCUGCCGCAAUGGGCGAAAGCCUGACGGAGCAACGCCGCGUGAGUGAUGAAGGUCCUCGGAUCGUAAAACUCUGUUAUUAGGGAAGAACAAAUGUGUAAGUAACUGUGCACGUCUUGACGGUACCUAAUCAGAAAGCCACGGCUAACUACGUG